AACUCAAAGGAAUUGACGGGGGCCCGCACAAGCGGCGGAGCAUGCGGAUUAAUUCGAUGCAACGCGAAGAACCUUACCAAGGCUUGACAUGAACCGGAAAGACCUGGAAACAGGUGCCCCGCUUGCGGUCGGUUUACAGGUGGUGCAUGGUUGUCGUCAGCUCGUGUCGUGAGAUGUUGGGUUAAGUCCCGCAACGAGCGCAACCCUCGUUCUAUGUUGCCAGCGCGUUAUGGCGGGGACUCAUAGGAGACUGCCGGGGUCAACUCGGAGGAAGGUGGGGACGACGUCAAAUCAUCAUGCCCCUUAUGUCUUGGGCUUCACGCAUGCUACAAUGGCCGGUACAAAGGGUUGCGAUACUGUGAGGUGGAGCUAAUCCCAAAAAGCCGGUCUCAGUUCGGAUUGGGGUCUGCAACUCGACCCCAUGAAGUCGGAGUCGCUAGUAAUCGCAGAUCAGCAACGCUGCGGUGAAUACGUUCCCGGGCCUUGUACACACCGCCCGUCAAGUCACGAAAGUUGGUAACACCCGAAGCCGGUGGCCUAACCCUUGUGGGGGGAGCCGUCGAAGGUGGGACCGGCGAUUGGGACUAAGUCGUAACAAGGUAGCCGUACCGGAAGGUGCGGCUGG
rnacentral:rRNA from 1 species